rnacentral:rRNA from 1 species
AGAGAGAAGCUUGCUUCUCUUGAGAGCGGCGGACGGGUGAGUAAUGCCUAGGAAUCUGCCUGGUAGUGGGGGAUAACGUUCGGAAACGGACGCUAAUACCGCAUACGUCCUACGGGAGAAAGCAGGGGACCUUCGGGCCUUGCGCUAUCAGAUGAGCCUAGGUCGGAUUAGCUAGUUGGUGAGGUAAUGGCUCACCAAGGCGACGAUCCGUAACUGGUCUGAGAGGAUGAUCAGUCACACUGGAACUGAGACACGGUCCAGACUCCUACGGGAGGCAGCAGUGGGGAAUAUUGGACAAUGGGCGAAAGCCUGAUCCAGCCAUGCCGCGUGUGUGAAGAAGGUCUUCGGAUUGUAAAGCACUUUAAGUUGGGAGGAAGGGCAGUUACCUAAUACGUGAUUGUUUUGACGUUACCGACAGAAUAAGCACCGGCUAACUCUGUGCCAGCAGCCGCGGUAAUACAGAGGGUGCAAGCGUUAAUCGGAAUUACUGGGCGUAAAGCGCGCGUAGGUGGUUUGUUAAGUUGGAUGUGAAAUCCCCGGGCUCAACGUGGGAACUGCAUUCAAAACUGACUGACUAGAGUAUGGUAGAGGGUGGUGGAA